UUAUGGCUCAGAACGAACGCUGGCGGCGCGUCUUAAGCAUGCAAGGUCGAACGGCAAGAGGUAGCAAUACCUCCUAGAGUGGCGGACUGGUGAGUAACACGUGGGUGACAUACCCUUCAGAUGGGGAUAGCUAUUAGAAAUAGUAGAUAAUACCGAAUACGAGCACAGGGGUUAGAGAUCUGUGAGGAAAGGAGCUAAGGCUCCGCUGAAGGAAUGGCCUGCGGCCCAUUAGCUAGUUGGUGAGGUAAGAGCCCACCAAGGCGAUGAUGGGUAUCCGGCCUUAGAGGGUGAACGGGCACAUUGGGACUGAGAUACGGCCCAGACUCCUACGGGAGGCAGCAGCUAAGAAUAUUCCGCAAUGGACGAAAGUCUGACGGAGCGACGCCGCGUGGAUGAAGAAGGCCGGAAGGUUGUAAAAUCCUUUUGAAACUGAAGAAUAAGCGUUGUAGGGAAUGACAGCGUGGUGACAGUAGGUUUUGAAUAAGCAACGGCUAAUUACGUGCCAGCCGCCGC
rnacentral:rRNA from 1 species